GAUCCAGGGCCAUUUUACUGUCAGAGUGAUGGGUGAAGGUCCCAGCCAGAUGAACAGCAAAACCAGAUUUGGACAGAAAAGACAGAUGUCGAAGCAAGGUAAGGCUGACAGGUUUGGCCGGAAAUGAAACGAGCCCUUGUUACAUUCGGAUGUUAUAUACAUGGACCACGAAAGCAAGAACAGCCACAGAUUCUGGCUCGUGUCUCUUGGGCCGGGGAACACCAAAAUGAAAGGGGCGAGAUGACCACACCCCAGGUGGCAGGACACCUUGUUGCUGAGGAGCUCAUUUCAUGCUGCAGCUAAGCAGUUCUAUAACCCAGAGGAUUGCAGGGCGUUCUGCCAAGACUUACAUCAACUUACCUGCGUGGCCUGUGUGGAGACGUGCAAGGGAGCCAGAGCGCUGUGGAGGAACCAUUCCCACGAACUAGAUCACUGGAUAUCCUCCUUGACUGCUCUCCCUUGAACAUCGGGUCUCUGUUGAAAGGCACCUUCUCAGAGUCACCUUCCCUGACUGCCAUGUGUAAACCAGCACAUCUCACUCUCCACCCCAACCCUGCUUUAUUUCCCUUAAUGCUUCCCACUCCCUAACAUUACAUCACACAGCAAUGUUUUAGCUUAUUGUAGGUGGACCCCACCAAUGCAUGAUUCCUGAGGGAAAGACAUGUCCUAUCUGCUGUGGUGUCCCUGUUAUUAUGUGACACACAGAAUAAAUGCUAACAUUGA